rnacentral:ribozyme from 1 species
CCAGCUCGCUACAAGUGCUACCCAUCAUUCGGUUCUGAUGAUGACCAGAACUUCCUGUGCAUGUGUAACCGAACAUGGAUGUUUUCUGGCGACAAAUGUUCUGUUCCACACCCCUUAGCCUACAUGACGGGGUUCUUCAGGGC